rnacentral:snRNA from 1 species
AAACUAACCUUGCUGAGCGGAUCUCGUGAUCAUGAAGACGGGACCGCCAUGGUGAGGCCGAUCCAUUGCACUUUAGGUUUGGCUGACCCGUGUGGCAAUCCCGAGUCGGGAUUGGCCAGCAGCAUAAUUUUUGCGUUUGGGGAAUGCGUUCGCGCAUCCCUG